ensembl:lncRNA TNS2-AS1 TNS2 antisense RNA 1
ACACUCACAAAGAGCCGAGGGGAGAGAGGGUGCGCAGACGGCCAGCCGGGCCGCGCCAGGGACAUACUGGAGACAGGAAGUGGCUGAGAGGGGGAGAGAGUUGGAGAGAGACGGCCGCGGAGGACACGGGGACGGGAAAGUCUGAGAGACGGGGAGAGCCUGACCCGGCGGGACACAGGCAGAAAGAAACACGCGAGCCAGACAGACGCAGAAGAAACGUGCCUGGUACUGGAUAGGAACUUCAUGGAAUGGAGCUAAUGGGCCGUAGGGCAGGUUUGAGUCGUGCCACCCUGGAGCAGAAGGUGGAGGGUAGGGAUAAGGGGGUGGAGCACCUGAUUCCAAUCUUGCCACAGGGAAGAAGAGUCUGUGAAGAACAUUCCUUAGGGUCUUUGGCUGGGCUCUGGGAUGGAUGCCAUGGGAGUACCUUUACUUAAGCUCUAAAGUUACCAAUGGAGAGACUGGGACUCAAAGAGGAACUUGAUUGGACCCCAGAGAGGGUGGAGAGAAACUAGGAGAAAAGCACAGGAUGUAGAGGUCUAUUCGGCAUAAUCUUCUCCCUCAUUUUCAUCUUCACCAUCAACAGAGAGAGCAGCAUACUUGCUUGCAGAACUGAACUUCUGUAACACAACGAGAGUGACAGGAUAAUGAAGGCCCUGAAUUAUCACAUCAAAACCCAAGACACAGGAUACUGAUCCUUUGGCAAUGGGGGAUGACAGUCAGAUGACACCCACUUGCUUGCUCAUCAGCAUUGUCCAUUGGAGAGGAGCUAGGGAAGAGGGUCAGAGGCACAUGCGAUCUUACUAUAGUCUCAUACCACCUCUACACCUUGCAGAAGGGAUGAGAACAAAGGAAGACAGAAACCAGGAAAAAGCUAAACUUCUUUCGCUAUUUCAGUAAAGACCAAUGUCUUAUUUCCAAACACUUUGUAUUCCAAAUGGAAAGAAGUCCAACGGCAAAAAGUUUAGAAUACUAAGAAUUUUUAAUUCUUAGUAAGAAUACUUAGAAUUCUAAGAAUUUUUCUUAGAAUGAAAAAUUGGGAGCAGCCUUCAACACUUACGGAAGCUGGAUUUUCCUCAGGUUUCUUUGGCUCAGGUGCAGAUCUGGAGUCUUGAUCCUUUUUGCCAUCUUUCCUGCAGAGACGUAAGCAUAAAACCAUGUCUUUAGGAAAGGACUCGCCUAAUACAAACAUGUGUAUGCAUGCAGUUUCAAGGCACUGAACAGGCACCUCUAGUCAACAGUCCUUGUUGUCUGGAUGAUGUAUUACUUCUAGAUUUUCAGAAUCUUAACUGUCUACGUUGGCUGACUUUAGUUUGCUCACAAUGAGCGAUCUGGCAGUGCUCUGAGAACCAAGAACUUAAUUUCUUAAUUACACAAACAUGUGGAUCAGAGGAAAGAUGAGAAAGAGAACAAGCAUACCUAUCUGACUCCUUCCAGUGGUCUCUGUUCCCUCCGUCGCCUGGACCACGGCUAGAGUUCCCAGUUUGGCCUUUUGGGGCAUUCAUCCCAUCUACUUUAUUUUCAUCUGCUUGGGCAGUAAUGUAAACAAAUUAAAGGCAAGUAAAAGUAUCAAUGUCCCUCUCCUAAGAUUUCCCUUAAGCUGAAGAAAAUUGUGCCCACAUGUACUGAGGGAAACUAACCUCACCCCAACCCAGACUUCCUUCCUGAAGCCCUUCUUUCCACAUCCUCUACAGCACACAAAAAUACAAAAAACAAACAAAAUCCACUAAAAAGUUCCAUGUAGGGAUAUGCCAUCAUGAAAAGCAAGCUGGAAAUAAAGAUUAUGACGCUCUGUAGUGACCUUG